ensembl:lncRNA
CUUUAUCGAGCCCAUCUUUGCAUGAAAUGUUCCCUUGGUAUCGCUAAUUUUCUUGAAGAAAUCUCUAGUCUUUCCCAUUCUGUUCUUUUCCUCUAUUUCUUUGCAUUGAUCGCUGAAGAAGGCUUUCUUAUCUCUUCUUGCUAUUCUUUGGAACUCUGCCUUCAGAUGCUUAUAUCUUUCCUUUUCUCCUUUGCUUUUUAUGAUUUGUUUUAUGAUUUGGUUGUGCUUUAUGUUUUGGUAUGGCAUGAGGCAUGUGGCAUCUUAGCUCCCCAGCCAAGUAUUGAACCUGUCCCACAUGCAUUGGAAGAUGUCAUCUUAACCAGUGGCCUACCAGAGAAGUCCCUAUAGGAGUCUUUUAAUAAUUCUUUCCUUUUUGUUUUUUUUCAGGUUCUCUUCUCUUUCGCUCCUGUCAUAGAUGCAGGCAGCUGCUGAUCAACGCAUAUACAUUUGGGGUGCUUCUCUCAGUUAAGGAAAAGAGACUCUCAAAGAAAUAGAUGACUUAAGGGAUAGUUUUGCUGAGCCCCACAUACGAGGAGAUGGACCAGGGUUGAAGGGACUGAAUUGAACGCUGGGUCAGGUGGAGAAAGUAAUAUCACCUGCUGUCACCAGGCCCUGACAACACCCAGAGAUGCUCUUCCGUGUCCUUGGUGCUCUCAAAGAUCCAGAAAGACUCCAGCCCUUCAGAUCAAAUAGCUGAAACAAUGGAUGAUCUGAACUGUUGAUGACCUCACCCCAUCCAGGUGCCCAUCCACAUAGACAAAAAUGUCCAGAGCCAAAGAGCCUUGCUCUUCCCAUCACGGAAUAAUCCCCUCUAGAGUGGAGAAAGUCCUGAGUAAUCCUUCAGAAGAAGUGGCAGCUGACCUGGGAAACGCUGCGAUUCGGCGGGGUCAGGCAGAGCAAGGCAUCAGGCCAUGUGCCGUGGGCUGGCAGAAGUGGAGACGCUCAGUAAGUGAUGUCGUGAUGUGCUGGAAAACAGGUGAGCAGGGAC